rnacentral:rRNA from 1 species
AGGAUUAACGCUGGCGGCGUGCAUGAAACAUGCAAGUCGAGCGCGGUGUGAUGCGGGGUAACCCAAUUCACAUCUAGCGGCGAACGGGUGAGUAACACGUGAGCAACCUACCUUUGAGUUGGGGAUAGCCCUGGGAAACCAGGAUUAAUACCCGAUGUGGUCACAACAGGACAUCCUGAUGUGAGUAAAGGCGUAAGCCGCUCAAUGACGGGCUCGCGGCCUAUUAGCUUGUUGGUGGGGUAACGGCCUACCAAGGCGAUGAUGGGUAGCUGGUCUGAGAGGACGAUCAGCCACACUGGGACUGAGACACGGCCCAGACUCCUACGGGAGGCAGCAGUUGGGAAUCUUGGACAAUGGGGGAAACCCUGAUCCAGCCAUGCCGCGUGAGUGAUGAAGGCCUUCGGGUUGUAAACUCUUUCGACGGGGACGAUAAUGACGGUACCCGUAGAAGAAGCUCCGGCUAACUUCGUGCCAGCAGCCGC